rnacentral:snRNA from 1 species
AAACUUUUUUUUUUUCGUGCACGUCCCUAGUAUAAAUCUUUUGCUUUUUACUAAAGAUUUCCAUGGAGAGGAACAUUUAUGAGUUUGUAACUUAUUUCUUGAGGCCCUGCUUUAGCAAUCUUUAAAAAAGGAAAAAAAAUCUGGGCU